AGACUCUGUGCGCGUGCAUAUCAAUAAGCGGAGGAAAAGAAACUAACUAGGAUUCCCUCAGUAACGGCGAGUGAAGCGGGAAGAGCUCAAAUUUGAAAUCUUCAAGGUUCUACCUUGACGAAUUGUAGUUUAAAGAAGUGUUUUCUGUUGGAGUUUUGGUAAAAGUUCUUUGGAAUAGGACAUCAUAGAGGGUGAGAAUCCCGUAUUUGACCAUUAUUUCCAACUUUGUGAUACACUUUCAAAGAGUCGGAUUGUUUGGGAAUGCAGUCCAAAAUGGGUGGUAAAUUUCAUCUAAAGCUAAAUACUGGCGAGAGACCGAUAGCGAACAAGUACCGUGAGGGAAAGAUGAAAAGAACUUUGAAAAGAGAGUUAAACAGUACGUGAAAUUGUCAAAAGGGAAGCGUUUGACACCAGUGUUGUUUUCUCGAAAAUCAAUUAAAAAUGGCGGGAUUUUGUGUUGUAUUGACUUUAUCAGCUUUCUGCACUUUUUUCCUAUCUUUUUUAAUGCACUUUUCGUUUAACAAGUCAACAUCAAUUUCUUUUGUUGUAAAAGGGUCAUUGGAAGGUGGCUUUCUUUUCGGAGAAAGUGUUUAUAGCCUUUGGCCUCUGCAAUCGGAGAGAUUGAGGUCUGCAGCGUAGAUCCUUCGGGGUUAGAUGCAUUUGUGCUAAGCUAUAGCCUUUCAUAGACAACUUGUUGACUAUGAUCAGUCAUGUAGCUUACUCGCAUGUGCUAUUUUACCUACGCUUAGGAUGUUGACGAUCAGCUGAGCGCG
rnacentral:rRNA from 1 species